rnacentral:rRNA from 1 species
UACGGAGGGUGCGAGCGUUGUCCGGAAUCAUUGGGCGUAAAGGGCGCGUAGGUGGCCUGGUCAGCGUGCGGUGAAAGCCUGGGGCUCAACCCCGGGUCGGCCGUGCGAACUGCUGGGCUUGAGCACUGUAGAGGCAGGCGGAAUUCCGGGUGUAGCGGUGGAAUGCGUAGAGAUCCGGAAGAACACCGGUGGCGAAGGCGGCCUGCUGGGCAGUAGCUGACACUGAGAGACGAAAGCUAGGGGAGCGAAUGGG